rnacentral:rRNA from 1 species
UGAACGCUGGCGGCAGGCCUAACACAUGCAAGUCGAGCGGUAACAGAUCUAGCUUGCUAGAUGCUGACGAGCGGCGGACGGGUGAGUAACGCGUAGGAAUCUACCCAGUAGCGGGGGAUAAGCCAGAGAAAUUUGGUCUAAUACCGCAUACGCCCUUAGGGGGAAAGCAGGGGCUCUUCGGACCUUGCACUAUUGGAUGAGCCUGCGUGAGAUUAGCUAGUUGGUGAGGUAAGAGCUCACCAAGGCGACGAUCUCUAGCUGGUCUGAGAGGAUGAUCAGCCACACUGGAACUGAGACACGGUCCAGACUCCUACGGGAGGCAGCAGUGGGGAAUAUUGCACAAUGGGGGAAACCCUGAUGCAGCCAUGCCGCGUGUGUGAAGAAGGCCCUAGGGUUGUAAAGCACUUUCAGUCGUGAGGAAAGGUGUGUACUUAAUACGUGCAUACUGUGACGUUAGCGACAGAAGAAGGACCGGCUAACUCC